GAAGCUGAGAGCUUGGAGCAAAGU
rnacentral:siRNA from 1 species